CUCAGGAUUGACGCUGGCGGUAUGCUUAACACAUGCAAGUCGAACGGUCUCUUCGGAGAUAGUGGCGGACGGGUGAGUAACGCGUGAGAAUCUAGCUUCAGGUCGGGGACAACAGUUGGAAACGGCUGCUAAUACCGGAUGUGCCGAAAGGUAAAAGGCUUGCUGCCUGGAGAUGAGCUCGCGUCUGAUUAGCUAGUAGGUGUGGUAAGAGCGCACCUAGGCGACGAUCAGUAGCUGGUCUGAGAGGACGAUCAGCCACACUGGGACUGAGACACGGCCCAGACUCCUACGGGAGGCAGCAGUGGGGAAUUUUCCGCAAUGGGCGAAAGCCUGACGGAGCAAUACCGCGUGAGGGAGGAAGGCUCUUGGGUUGUAAACCUCUUUUCUCAAGGAAGAAGACAAUGACGGUACCUGAGGAAUAAGCAUCGGCUAACUCCGUGCCAGCAGCCGCGGUAAUACGGAGGAUGCAAGCGUUAUCCGGAAUGAUUGGGCGUAAAGCGUCCGCAGGUGGCAAUGAAAGUCUGCUGUUAAAGAGUGAGGCUCAACCUCAUAAAAGCGGUGGAAACUACAUAGCUAGAGUACGUUCGGGGCAGAGGGAAUUCCUGGUGUAGCGGUGAAAUGCGUAGAGAUCAGGAAGAACACCGGUGGCGAAAGCGCUCUGCUAGGCCUGUACUGACACUG
rnacentral:rRNA from 1 species